AGUGAACGCUGGCGGUAGGCCUAACACAUGCAAGUCGAACGGCAGCACAGUAAGAGCUUGCUCUUACGGGUGGCGAGUGGCGGACGGGUGAGGAAUAUAUCGGAAUCUACUUUUUCGUGGGGGAUAACGUAGGGAAAUUUACGCUAAUACCGCAUACGACCUACGGGUGAAAGCAGGGGAUCUUCGGACCUUGUGCGAUUGAAUGAGCCGAUGUCGGAUUAGCUAGUUGGCGGGGUAAAGGCCCACCAAGGCGACGAUCCGUAGCUGGUCUGAGAGGAUGAUACGCCACACUGGAGCUGAGACACGGUCCAGACUCCUACGGGAGGCAGCAGUGGGGAAUAUUAGACAAUGGUGGAAAGCCUGAUCCAGCCAUACCGCGUGAGUGAAGAAGGCCUUCGGGUUGUAAAGCCCUUUUGUUGGGAAAGAAAAGCAGCAGGUUAAUACCCCGCUGUUCUGACGGUACCCGAAGAAUAAGCACCGGCUAACUUCGUG
rnacentral:rRNA from 1 species